rnacentral:rRNA from 1 species
GAUGAACGCUAGCGGCAGGCUUAACACAUGCAAGUCGAGGGGUAUAGGCUUUCGGGCCUAGAGACCGGCGCACGGGUGCGUAACGCGUAUGCAAUCUACCUUUUACAGAGGGAUAGCCCAGAGAAAUUUGGAUUAAUACCUCAUAGUAUUAUGAAAUGGCAUCAUUUUAUAAUUAAAGUUCCAACGGUAAAAGAUGAGCAUGCGUCCCAUUAGCUAGUUGGUGUGGUAACGGCACACCAAGGCAAUGAUGGGUAGGGGCCCUGAGAGGGAGAUCCCCCACACUGGUACUGAGACACGGACCAGACUCCUACGGGAGGCAGCAGUGAGGAAUAUUGGACAAUGGGCGCAAGCCUGAUCCAGCCAUGCCGCGUGCAGGAUGACGGUCCUAUGGAUUGUAAACUGCUUUUAUACGGGAAGAAACCCUGGCUCGUGAGCCAGAUUGACGGUACCGUAGGAAUAAGGAUCGGCUAACUCCGUGCCAGCAGCCGCGGUAAUACGGAGGAUCCAAGCGUUAUCCGGAAUCAUUGGGUUUAAAGGGUCCGUAGGCGGUUUUAUAAGUCAGUGGUGAAAUCCGGUAGCUCAACUAUCGAACUGCCAUUGAUACUGUAGAACUUGAAUUGCUGUGAAGUAACUAGAAUAUGUAGUGUAGCGGUGAAAUGCUUAGAUAUUACAUGGAAUACCAAUUGCGAAGGCAGGUUACUAACAUCAUAUUGACGCUGAUGGACGAAAGCGUGGGGAGCGAACAGGAUUAGAUACCCUGGUAGUCCACGCCGUAAACGAUGGAUACUAGCUGUUUGGUAGCAAUACUGAGUGGCUAAGCGAAAGUGAUAAGUAUCCCACCUGGGGAGUACGAACGCAAGUUUGAAACUCAAAGGAAUUGACGGGGGCCCGCACAAGCGGUGGAGCAUGUGGUUUAAUUCGAUGAUACGCGAGGAACCUUACCAGGGCUUAAAUGUAGAUUGACAGACUUGGAAACAGGUUUUUCUUCGGACAAUUUACAAGGUGCUGCAUGGUUGUCGUCAGCUCGUGCCGUGAGGUGUCAGGUUAAGUCCUAUAACGAGCGCAACCCCUGUCGUUAGUUGCCAGCGAGUCAUGUCGGGAACUCUAACGAGACUGCCGGUGCAAACCGUGAGGAAGGUGGGGAUGACGUCAAAUCAUCACGGCCCUUACGUCCUGGGCUACACACGUGCUACAAUGGCCGGUACAGAGAGCAGCCACUGGGCGACCAGGAGCGAAUCUACAAAACCGGUCACAGUUCGGAUCGGAGUCUGCAACCCGACUCCGUGAAGCUGGAAUCGCUAGUAAUCGGAUAUCAGCCAUGAUCCGGUGAAUACGUUCCCGGGCCU